rnacentral:misc_RNA from 1 species
CAUCCUCAACCUUUCUUGUUCGUUUCGACCAAGAAAGGCUUGGACUUUGGAGGUUUUCCUUUUGUUGCCGGCCUCCUUUCGAAGCCGGCUCCUCCUAAAUGAAUUAGCAGGGUCUGCUUUGCCGAUCCUUGACGUGAUAAGAUGUUUCUACGUCUGGGAUUUCGCACUGUUACCUUUGGAUCCCGCUUCUAAUCGUCUUGCGAAAGACAAAGCUCAUAAUAAUAAA